CCACAAUGUCACACUGAAGACCACGCCUCCAGCGCAUGCUCAAGCCAGCUCCCAACCAGAGCUGCCUCAACUUAAGACUUGUGGUAAUUAAGUCUUUGUGUGUGUGUGUGUGUGUGUGUGUGUGUGUGUGUGUUCCGAUCAGAAUUAAUCCAUAUUUGUGUUAGUCAUCUUGACACCUCAUACACAAGCUUAUUAUUAUACUUAACACCGCAUUAUAAUACUAUGCUCAAUCGCUUCUCUUCCCUGCUAGACUCUAGGCUUUUGGUGAACCAACACAGUUUUGGUCCACAUUUCCCAGUGCCUGGUAUAGUCUAACGUCACUGAAUAGACCUCAGCAGCUGUGACGUACCAAAUGGAAGACGGUGAGAGCUCUUCGAGUUUAGGUGACUAGUUCUAGUGAGCCGGCCUUUGUCCGGCACAUGCGCAGUGGUUUUAGAGUGGCCUGUUUGCCCAUCUGGCUCAAAGAGAGCAUGCUCCACCGUCCAGGAACUGUAGCUGCUCGCUGAUUUAGACUUUCACCCAGUGUAGUCCCUGAGUGGGCAACAGUUUCCCCCAUUUCUUGAGAACAGGAUGAUAAAUAAUGCAGCGACAACAGAGGAGAUAUUAAUUCUGGUAUGCCACGCUGCCGCUCAGCUUUAGAACCCAGGAAGGAAGCGAGACUUGUGGCAAGCGAGCAGAGCAGGCCGCCUUGGCUUUGUUUCCUCUCAAAGGAGGACUCUCCUCUCUGUGCUGCUGGAGGUACGUGAGGUCUGGGCAGAGGCAGGUAUGGAAAUCCACAAACAAUGGAUGCGACUGCAAGUGAGAACAGGCCAUUCGGACUGAAGGUGACCUUGGAGAAGGUUCUGCGAAGCCUGGCUCAUUUCCAGCCAACUGAGGAAAAGCAGGAGGCUGUAUCGGUCAACAGCGGAAGUCCUCAGCUCAGCUAG
rnacentral:lncRNA from 1 species